GACGAACGCUGGCGGCGUGCUUAACACAUGCAAGUCGAACGGAAAGGCCCUGCUGUUGUGGGGUGCUCGAGUGGCGAACGGGUGAGUAACACGUGAGUAACCUGCCCUCGACUUUGGGAUAACUUCAGGAAACUGGGGCUAAUACCGGAUAGGAGCUCCUUCUGCAUGGUGGGGGUGGGAAAGUUUCGGCGGUUGGGGAUGGACUCGCGGCUUAUCAGCUUGUGGGUGGGGUAGUGGCUUACCAAGGCUUUGACGGGUAGCCGGCCUGAGAGGGUGACCGGCCACAUUGGGCCUGAGAUACGGCCCAGACUCCUACGGGAGGCAGCAGUGGGAAAUAUUGCACAAUGGGCGGAAGCCUGAUGCAGCGCCGCCGCGUGCGGGAUGACGGCCUUCGGGUUGUAAACCGCUUUCGCCUGUGACGAAGCGUGAGUGACGGUAAUGGGUAAAGAAGCACCGGCUAACUACGUG
rnacentral:rRNA from 1 species